GGCGGUGUCUCCCAGGGCGGCCCUGGCAGGCAGGGGUCACGGGCCCGACCACCGCCCGCGGGAGGACCGUCCCCGGAGGCCGUCAGCUGAUCCGGCAGAGCCGGGCUGACCGCGUUGACGGCAGCGGCAGGUGCCGUGGCCCCUGGUGCUCCUCCGGCUCCCUGCCCCACGCGGGAGGGGAGAGGCGCGGCAGUGGGGGGGUACAUGACACUCGGAUCCUGUCCCGGCUCUGCCGUUGUCUUGUUGCCUAUCAGACGCAUCACCUGCCGUCUGAGUUUCCCGCCCUUUCCCCUGGUCCGCAAGAAGGCGACGAAAGUCCCGGUGCCUGUCCCGUUCCCCUCACAGAGCGAGCUGCCACGUGAAAGUGUCCGGUGCCUCCAGCAGAGGGCCGGUCUGACGCUCGUGUUGCCCAUCGGGUCGAGGCGUGACUGCCUCGUGGAGUUAGCCUGGCCAGCUUUACUCAUGGAGUUUUCGCUCCUAAAGCACCCGUUGCCGGUCCAAAAAUCUGAGCGAGGAGAACGUGGGGCGCGGUGGUGGUUCUGCGUUCCUCAUCGUCUUGCCAACCUCUUUAAGUUCUUUGGAAAUUCACUCCUUACUUCAAGUACCUCUUCCCUGGGGUCUUCAGCGUUACCGAGAGGGAAAAGGCAGAUUUUUGUCGUUCGUGAGAGGAUGAAAACGACGUUCACCUAGUUUAUUCAAGACAAUAAGUGGGAAUUCCGAGGGGUUUCUCUGCUGUCCUCGAAAGCCCGUGUCUUGUUUUAGCCUGCCACCCCCGUCCCUGCUUCUGUGAUGGGCCUCGAGGUGGUUUUUCAGCAGGGUGGCUCACACACCCCAUCCUGUUUAGAGGUUGCUGUCGUUUAAAUAAGAGAACAGAAUCUUGCAGUCAAGAAUCUUGCAAAUCAAGAUGUCUGCAAACCAAGAAUCUUGGAAAGAGAACCAGAAAGAACUGGAAUCCGUAAUUUGGAUUGCAGUGAUCGACCAUAUUGGAUGUUGUUGGGAAUGGAGAAGGAAAGGGGUUGGGGAAGGAUCAGAGGAAACCUCAGCCCUCAUAAAGUGUUAAUUUUCUUUAUAAAUACUGAGCAAAGAGACAGAAUGCUAAGACUUGUUCGUGUGGAGGUGUAGUUAUGUGGGCGAUUGUUCCUAUACCUUCCUGUGCUUUUAAAACUUCUCAAAGUACAGAUGAGAGAUGAUAUAAAGAAAGAGGCAUGAUCUGUUCUACGUGAUAGUUAGAAUCCGCUGGUGGACAGUGGGAUCCCCAAGGGGGUUCGCUCUGCUGGAAGAAUUCAAGCGUGGCCUCCUGGACAGCGACCGUGUGAGCCGGGCCUGCUGAUCACCAACAGAAAUGCUUUCUUUUGCUUGUCUGUCAUUCACUGAAUGUUCUGGGUUUGGUUGCAUGCCACUUGGGUUGGUUGCAUGCUCUUUUUCUGGACGCUGGUACUCUUUCUGGAGACUGAUGGGGAAAGACUGAGAAUCCGGGCCUCGGAAGAAGGUAUUCUGAAGUCUUCCAUGUAUCACUCGCCUGCGUUAGCACCGGAGAAAGUGUCGCUGUUAGUUGAAGUAGUCGGUUUGCAGGUGACACGUUAAAUGUUAAUACAGAUACGCUAAACUGCGUCGCUGUCCUGAACCGUGAGAUUACCGACGCUUUUUCCCCCGUGCUUUAUUUUCUACUUUCAUAAACAUACGCUCACUUAUGA